UCUGCUCCGACCCCGGUGCACCCCGCCCUGAGUCUGCUCCACUCUGGGUGCGUCCUGCCCCGUGUUUGUUCCACUCCAGGUGCACAACGCCCCGAGCUUGCUCGGCUCAGGAUGCUCCCCACCCGGUGUCUGCUCCACUCUGGGUGCACCCGGCCUCGUGUCUGCUCUGCUCCGGCAUUCUCCCAGACUCGGCCUGAAGAAGCCGGAGGACGCCGAGGUCCCCCGAAACCCAGCCACUCGGAGCUAGCCUUCUGUUGGUAUAAGAAGUCCACAGGGUAGGCUAAUCUCCUUAAUGAACUUGCUCCCUAAACCCGGAGGCUGCUUUUCCUGUUUUGUUUUGUUGAAGCGAGAUCUCCUACAGUGUAGACUGACUGGCCUUGAACUCAAACGAGAACCGAAGCCAGCUUUCCAGUCGGACCCUACUGUUUCCGCCCGCUUUCCAAUCCAGAAUCUAUGGUGGGUGGGUUCAGGCAGGGUCACGUGACCCAGACUGGUUUUGAACUUCUGUGUUUUUUUUUUUCCCUCCGCCUUUUGGCAAAUGCUGGGAUUUCUAACUUGUUCCAUAGCACCAUGUGAGAGCCCGCUCUUUCCUUCCUUCCCUCCUCUUUUUAUUUUUAUUAUUAGGGUUUUGUUGUUGUGUGCGCGUGAGUAUGCGCUUGGAACACUAAACAGGCGAGGCUAACUGGCCAAGGGACUCCAGGGAUCCUCUUUCUUUCAACCUCCCCAUCGCUGAGAAUACAAACACACAUGCCUCAAAAUUAUUAAUAGGUGGGGACUGGAGAGAUGGCUCAGUGGUUAAGAGCACUGACUGCUCUUCCAGAGGUUGAGUUCAAUUCCCAGCAACCACUUGGUGGCUCACAACCAUCUAUGAGAUCUGGUACCCUCUUCUGGCCUGCAGACAUACAUGGAAGGAAUACAUAGUAAGUAAAUAAAUCCUUUUAAAAAAAAGAAAGCACCGGCUAUUCCUCCAGCGGUCUUGAGUUCGAUUCCCAGCGACCAUGUGGAAACUCACAACCAUCUGUAGUGAGAUCUGGCGCCCUCCUCUGGCAUGCAAGCAUACAUGCUACAGAACACCCUAUACAUAAGUCUUUUAAAAAAAAAAAGAGUUAAAAGGUGAGUUAAUAGGUAACUAUUAUUGAAAAUGGGUUGCCGGGCGGUGGUGGCGUACACCUUUAAUCCCAGCACACAGGAGGCAUAGGCAGACGGAUUUCUGUGAGUUCGUGGCCAGCCUGGUCUACAGAGCGAGUUCCAGGACUGGCUCCAAAGCAAUACAGAGAAACCCUAUCUCGAAAAACCAAAAGAAAAGAGGUUGUCGUGGUGCUGCUGCUGUUUCCUCCAGAUUGGAUUCCUGCUCUCUGGAAGGAAGGCUGAUGCUGCUGUGAUCACCACUGGGAGGUGCGGAUGGGGGGGGGGGGGGUUUACAAACUGUAAGUUGUAGGGAAACUAAGUUGCAUUCGGGGAGCAGGGACAACCUGACUCCAGCGAGUGAUGCAAUUUUCUUGAAUCAACACCCAAUAAACAAUCCCAAUAAACUCACUGGGCGGACUCUAUAAUAUAUUGGAGCCCUGUCUGGGGUGAAUUGGUGCCACCAUAUAUCUCUCUGGGAGAAAUAACACAACUGGGCACCGCCCAUUAUGUACAAGAUUGGAGAUCACUAGGCUAUGAGACUGAACACGCAGGCGCGCACGCAGGCACAGCACAGCUAGUCUGAGGUAAUUCUGGGCUGUAAACCAUGCACCAGCACACACCGUCCACCUUGCCUCCAGUCCUCACCAAAGCCCUUACCCUUCCCGUGGAAGAAGUCAAGAGGCUCUAUUGCUUCCCUCCCACGAGAGAUCUUUGAAGGUGUGUGUGUGUUUCCACACUUUAGCUAUGUCAUUCUCGAGUCCGCAAUUCUGUACCUAAGAAAAGUAGUCGAGAAUGGAGAUAUGAUACAGUCAGCUCUGCUCUGAGUUACUUACUGUGUAAAUUACUUACUUGUGUAAAGCCAACAGCCUCCUAGCUCAGCCUUGCCCUGAGUGACUCCAUUUUACAAUGUAGCAGUUUGUUCCACUUUGAGGGUAAAUGCUAAGACAAAAGAACUCCAAAUCCCAUACUGGUUAACAACUGCCUAAACCUGUAGGGAUGUCAUCUAGGCUCUGCACGUGGCUUGCCUGCCUGUAUUUAUUACUACAAAUAAGCUACUGGCCAGUGUGCUGUAGACAUCAGGUGACUUAGCCGGUGGCACAGACCCUGGAAACUACUCAGAACUUUUUAAGCUCCUCCCAUUCACAGCCCCUCUCAUCAGAAACAGGUCCCUGUGACCCUGGAGGAGGCUGUAGGUGCUGUGAUCAGGCAGCAGCUUGCAGAACCAGCCUGGAUAACUUUCCUUUUGUCUUUUCUUGCUCUGUCUCUUUCUGAAGCAUGCUUUCUCAGACACUUGGAUUCCCUCCCUUUCCCAGACACUCCCCUCCCCCUACUUCUUGCAUCACACCGGCUGCUGGGCUGCCAGGUGGCUACUUACUAAAUAAAGGACGUGGUUCCUUUUUCCCAAGAUUUACAGUUAGCCUGCCCUUGCUUUUCUCAAACUCUAACAAAAAAAUCCUUGAAGUUAAAAAAAAAAAAAAAACAACUGUUUAAGUCAAACACCAGCUGAUAACAACUAAAAAAAAAUUUCAAAAUAAUUCUUUGGUUUACACAUAGUUUAUAAUUUAUUAAAGAUUAAAGUUAAUUUGCAUACUGAGUUGGUUGUAUUUAUUUUUACAUACAGAAUUAAAUUUUGGUUCAAUAUUUGAUAGGACAGAAAAUAGAACAUUUUCAAAAUUUUUCAGAGUUGACUGAUAUUUUUAUUUUAUUUUUAAAGUUUUAAAUUUUUCUAUUUUAUGUGUGUGAGUAUUUUGCCUGCAUAUAUGUCUGUGUACCACAUACAUGCCUGAUGCCCAUGGAGGCCAGAAGAGGACCUUGGAUCCCCUGGAACUGGAGUUACAAUCAUGAGCUGCCACGUGAGUGCCAGAAACCAAACCUUGGUCCCCUGGAAGAACAACGGUACUCGACCCCACAUGCAGUUACCUGACUCCCGCUCAGUUUCAGAAGCCGGGAUCUACACCAGCGCAGCAUGACCGACCUGUUCUCCACUGUGUCACCGAUGUAGUGCACUGUCCGCCUGUCCUCCGGUAUUUAUUCCCCAUGGCGUGCUCUAGAGUCUCUUUGGCCUGGGCUGCCUUUCACCUGGGCCACUGCCUCAGCUCCCUUUCUGUUCUUUCCUGGUAGCUCUCAGGUCACACGCACUCUGUCCCGAGGGAGGGCUCCUGGGUAGCUGCAGUGUCAUUUGGGGAGGUACAUCAUGUCAGCUGCCCUUCUGAUGGGGCUCCCUAUGAGUCUCUAAACCUGAGGUUUCUGUGGCCUUUAUUAAUUCAUACCUAAAUUAGUUAUGAGUGUUAGGCCUAAAAUGACGAUAUUUAUGUUCUUUAUUCUGUAAUUCUUAAGAGUUCAGUAUUUGAAAAAAAUGUAAUUAUUUUUAA